UACAGAGGGUGCGAGCGUUGUCCGGAAUCACUGGGCGUAAAGGGCGCGUAGGUGGCGACCCAAGUCCAUGGUGAAAGCUCGAUGCUCAACAUCGAGUCGACCACGGAUACUGGGUUGCUGGAGCACUGUAGAGGCAGAUGGAAUUCCGGGUGUAGCGGUGGAAUGCGUAGAGAUCCGGAAGAACACCGGUGGCGAAGGCGGUCUGCUGGGCAGUUGCUGACACUGAGGCGCGACAGCGUGGGGAGCAAACAGG
rnacentral:rRNA from 1 species